rnacentral:rRNA from 1 species
AUUGAACGCUGGCGGCAGGCCUAACACAUGCAAGUCGAACGGUAACAGGAAGAAGCUUGCUUCUUUGCUGACGAGUGGCGGACGGGUGAGUAAUGUCUGGGAAACUGCCUGAUGGAGGGGGAUAACUACUGGAAACGGUAGCUAAUACCGCAUAACGUCGCAAGACCAAAGAGGGGGACCUUCGGGCCUCUUGCCAUCGGAUGUGCCCAGAUGGGAUUAGCUAGUAGGUGGGGUAACGGCUCACCUAGGCGACGAUCCCUAGCUGGUCUGAGAGGAUGACCAGCCACACUGGAACUGAGACACGGUCCAGACUCCCACGGGAGGCAGCAGUGGGGAAUAUUGCACAAUGGGCGCAAGCCUGAUGCAGCCAUGCCGCGUGUAUGAAGAAGGCCUUCGGGUUGUAAAGUACUUUCAGCGGGGAGGAAGGGAGUAAAGUUAAUACCUUUGCUCAUUGACGUUACCCGCAGAAGAAGCACCGGCUAACUCCGUG